UCCAGACUCCUACGGGAGGCAGCAGUGGGGGAUAUUGCACAAUGGGGGGAACCCUGAUGCAGCGACGCCGCGUGAGGGAAGACGGCCUUCGGGUUGUAAACCUCUGUCGCAGGGGACGAAGGAGAUGACGGUACCCUGUGAGGAAGCCACGGCUAACUACGUGCCAGCAGCCGCGGUAAUACGUAGGUGGCGAGCGUUGUCCGGAAUUACUGGGUGUAAAGGGAGCGUAGGCGGGAUAUUAAGUUGAAUGUAUAAACUACCGGCUUAACCGAUAGAAGCGUUCAAAACUGAUAUUCUUGAGUGAAGUAGAGGCAGGCGGAAUUCCUAGUGUAGCGGUGAAAUGCGUAGAUAUACGGAGGAACACCAGUGGCGAAGGCGGAUUGCUGGACAGUAACUGACGCUGAGGCGCGAAAGCGUGGGGAGCAAACAGGAUUAGAUACCCGUGUAC
rnacentral:rRNA from 1 species